GGUUAAGCGACUAAGCGUACACGGUGGAUGCCCUGGCAGUCAGAGGCGAUGAAGGACGUGCUAAUCUGCGAAAAGCGCCGGCGAGGUGAUAUGAACCUUUGACCCGGCGAUGUCCGAAUGGGGAAACCCAGUGUGAUUCGUCACACUAUCGUUAACUGAAUACAUAGGUUAACGAGGCGAACCGGGGGAACUGAAACAUCUAAGUACCCCGAGGAAAAGAAAUCAACCGAGAUUCCCCCAGUAGCGGCGAGCGAACGGGGAGCAGCCCAGAGUCUGAAUCAGCUUGUGUGUUAGUGGAAGCGUCUGGAAAGUCGCACGGUACAGGGUGACAGUCCCGUACACGAAAGCACACAGGCUGUGAACUCGAAGAGUAGGGCGGGACACGUGGUAUCCUGUCUGAAUAUGGGGGGACCAUCCUCCAAGGCUAAAUACUCCUGACUGACCGAUAGUGAACCAGUACCGUGAGGGAAAGGCGAAAAGAACCCCGGCGAGGGGAGUGAAAAAGAACCUGAAACCGUGUACGUACAAGCAGUGGGAGCACCUUCGUGGUGUGACUGCGUACCUUUUGUAUAAUGGGUCAGCGACUUAUAUUCUGUAGCAAGGUUAACCGUAUAGGGGAGCCGAAGGGAAACCGAGUCUUAACUGGGCGUUAAGUUGCAGGGUAUAGACCCGAAACCCGGUGAUCUAGCCAUGGGCAGGUUGAAGGUUGGGUAACACUAACUGGAGGACCGAACCGACUAAUGUUGAAAAAUUAGCGGAUGACUUGUGGCUGGGGGUGAAAGGCCAAUCAAACCGGGAGAUAGCUGGUUCUCCCCGAAAGCUAUUUAGGUAGCGCCUCGUGAACUCAUCUUCGGGGGUAGAGCACUGUUUCGGCUAGGGGGCCAUCCCGGCUUACCAACCCGAUGCAAACUACGAAUACCGAAGAAUGUUAUCACGGGAGACACACGGCGGGUGCUAACGUCCGUCGUGAAGAGGGAAACAACCCAGACCGCCAGCUAAGGUCCCAAAGUCAUGGUUAAGUGGGAAACGAUGUGGGAAGGCACAGACAGCCAGGAUGUUGGCUUAGAAGCAGCCAUCAUUUAAAGAAAGCGUAAUAGCUCACUGGUCGAGUCGGCCUGCGCGGAAGAUGUAACGGGGCUAAACCAUGCACCGAAGCUGCGGCAGCGACGCUUAGGCGUUGUUGGGUAGGGGAGCGUUCUGUAAGCCGUUGAAGGUGUGCUGUGAGGCAUGCUGGAGGUAUCAGAAGUGCGAAUGCUGACAUAAGUAACGAUAAAGCGGGUGAAAAGCCCGCUCGCCGGAAGACCAAGGGUUCCUGUCCAACGUUAAUCGGGGCAGGGUGAGUCGACCCCUAAGGCGAGGCCGAAAGGCGUAGUCGAUGGGAAACAGGUUAAUAUUCCUGUACUUGGUGUUACUGCGAAGGGGGGACGGAGAAGGCUAUGUUAGCCGGGCGACGGUUGUCCCGGUUUAAGCAUGUAGGCGGAGGUUCCAGGUAAAUCCGGUACCUUUUAACGCUGAGGUGUGAUGACGAGGCACUACGGUGCUGAAGUAACAAAUGCCCUGCUUCCAGGAAAAGCCUCUAAGCAUCAGGUAACACGAAAUCGUACCCCAAACCGACACAGGUGGUCAGGUAGAGAAUACCAAGGCGCUUGAGAGAACUCGGGUGAAGGAACUAGGCAAAAUGGUGCCGUAACUUCGGGAGAAGGCACGCUGAUAUGUAGGUGAAGCCCCUGCGGGUGGAGCUGAAAUCAGUCGAAGAUACCAGCUGGCUGCAACUGUUUAUUAAAAACACAGCACUGUGCAAACACGAAAGUGGACGUAUACGGUGUGACGCCUGCCCGGUGCCGGAAGGUUAAUUGAUGGGGUUAGCGGCAACGCGAAGCUCUUGAUCGAAGCCCCGGUAAACGGCGGCCGUAACUAUAACGGUCCUAAGGUAGCGAAAUUCCUUGUCGGGUAAGUUCCGACCUGCACGAAUGGCGUAAUGAUGGCCAGGCUGUCUCCACCCGAGACUCAGUGAAAUUGAACUCGCUGUGAAGAUGCAGUGUACCCGCGGCAAGACGGAAAGACCCCGUGAACCUUUACUAUAGCUUGACACUGAACACUGGUCCUUGAUGUGUAGGAUAGGUGGGAGGCUUUGAAGCGUGGACGCCAGUCUGCGUGGAGCCGUCCUUGAAAUACCACCCUUUAAUGGCUGGUGUUCUAACGUAGACCCGUGAUCCGGGUUGCGGACAGUGUCUGGUGGGUAGUUUGACUGGGGCGGUCUCCUCCCAAAGAGUAACGGAGGAGCACGAAGGUUAGCUAAUCCUGGUCGGACAUCAGGAGGUUAGUGCAAUGGCAUAAGCUAGCUUGACUGCGAGAGUGACGGCUCGAGCAGGUGCGAAAGCAGGUCAUAGUGAUCCGGUGGUUCUGAAUGGAAGGGCCAUCGCUCAACGGAUAAAAGGUACUCCGGGGAUAACAGGCUGAUACCGCCCAAGAGUUCAUAUCGACGGCGGUGUUUGGCACCUCGAUGUCGGCUCAUCACAUCCUGGGGCUGAAGUAGGUCCCAAGGGUAUGGCUGUUCGCCAUUUAAAGUGGUACGCGAGCUGGGUUUAGAACGUCGUGAGACAGUUCGGUCCCUAUCUGCCGUGGGCGCUGGAGAAUUGAGGGGGGCUGCUCCUAGUACGAGAGGACCGGAGUGGACGCAUCACUGGUGUUCGGGUUGUCAUGCCAAUGGCACUGCCCGGUAGCUAAAUGCGGAAAAGAUAAGUGCUGAAAGCAUCUAAGCACGAAACUUGCCCCGAGAUGAGUUCUCCCUGACCCUUUAAGGGUCCUGAAGGAACGUUGAAGACGACGACGUUGAUAGGUCGGGUGUGUAAGCGCAGCGAUGCGUUGAGCUAACCGAUACUAAUGAACCGUGAGGCUUAACCUU
rnacentral:rRNA from 1 species